AAAGAUCAAAGCAAACCAUACUUUCAGAAGAAAUCAAAUGCUUCUUCUUAUGUUUAAUGGAAUGCUACAGGAUGUUGUUCAUCAGAAGUACCUGGGUUACAAGCUAUUUGUCUUACCCAGCUAAUUCUGACAUAUACUAAAGCUUGAGACAGGGUGUAAGUCACUUUCAGCUCUUCCAAUGAUUCAUGGACAGCUCUAGGCAAGUCUCUUAAUCCAUGUUUUAUUUUCCAUAGGUAUAAAGUAAGGAUAACUUUUCCACCACCAACUGCCAUUCUUGUGAAGAUGAAAGAACUUAAGAAAAUGCUUCAGAAUACAUAAACAUGUCAUUAUUAUUUUUCUCUAUUCAGAAGUUAAUGUCUUAAAACUAGUUUUUAUAAACUACUAGAAAGUGAAAUAAACAUGAUACUGAAGUAGCUUUUCUUUUAUAAUAGGUUGUUCCCUUUACCUUUAAUUCAUGCAUCUGAGUUGCUGAGAUAUAAGAUGGUAGGACCACAGAAGAGCAUCCUAGCUGAGCUCAUUGUACUUGACUUUUGUCAACUCCAGCUUACCCUCACAUUGAUGCACUCAUUCUUCAAAAUAAAGAAAACUUACCAUAACUCUUCUGCUUGCAAACUUCUGGUGGCAUGCAACUGCCUUCAGACUAAAAUCUAAAUGCUUUGGCUUAAGAAACAAGGCCCUCCACAUUUUGCUUCAAGCUACUCUUGUUCUGAUGCUGCAGUCCCUACACCCAGACACUAAGCAUAUCAUCAAUCACUGAAUCCUACAAGCUCUUUCAUGACUAUAUGCCCAGGAUACUUCAUUUACAUGUCUAUUACUAUUAUACCUAAUACGUUCUAUGGUAAUUAGUCUGCUACAUGACUGUUUCACUUCUGAGUCUUAGGGCUACUUGAAGGCAAGGAGGACAGCUUCUCGGAAGCCCUGGUGUCUCAGCCUGGCUUGGCACAGAGGAGGCACUCCAUAAGUGCUGGAUGACUGAAUGAGUGAACUUCAUUGUAGAACAUUAUCUUAUUUUUUAAGUGUUUGAUGUGGAGUCCCAAAAACACAGGUCUUUGAAAAGCAGGCUGAAAGCAAGUUAUUUUACUUCUUUUGAUCCUCCACUGCAUAAUAAAGCUUAUAAUGAGUGUUCAAUAAAACUUUAUAACAUUUA